GUAGCAGAGAGGGAUUGCAGGUGUGGUUGCCAUGUCACAAGUCCGUGAGUAGGCAGCAGAGAAGAGCAAGACUGUGUCUACACUCAGUGUUCUGACCUCUGAAGAUCUGAGCAGUUAGUAGCCCAACACU